rnacentral:tRNA from 1 species
GGGAUGGUAGCUCAGUGGAAGAACAUCUGCUUGGCAAUCAGAAGGCCCCAAGUUCAAUACCCACUCCCCA